rnacentral:rRNA from 1 species
UACGUAGGUGGCGAGCGUUGUCCGGAUUUACUGGGCGUAAAGCGCGCGCAGGCGGUUCUGUAAGUCCUGGGUGAAAUCGCCCGGCUCAACUGGGCGGGGGCCUGGGGGACUGCGGGACUGGAGGGGCCUAGAGGCCGGUGGAACUCCCGGUGUAGUGGUGAAAUGCGUAGAGAUCGGGAAGAACACCAACGGCGAAAGCACUCUGCUGGGCCGACACUGACACUGAGAGACGAAAGCUAGGGGAGCGAAUGGG